UUUAUGGAGAGUUUGAUCCUGGCUCAGGAUGAACGCUGGCGGCGUGCCUAAUACAUGCAAGUCGAGCGAACGGACGAGAAGCUUGCUUCUCUGAUGUUAGCGGCGGACGGGUGAGUAACACGUAGAUAACCUACCUAUAAGACUGGAAUAACUUCGGGAAACCGGAGCUAAUACCGGAUAAUAUUUUGAACCGCAUGGUUCAAAAGUGAAAGACGGUCUUGCUGUCACUUAUAGAUGGAUCCGCGCUGCAUUAGCUAGUUGGUAAGGUAACGGCUUACCAAGGCAACGAUGCAUAGCCGACCUGAGAGGGUGAUCGGCCACACUGGAACUGAGACACGGUCCAGACUCCUACGGGAGGCAGCAGUAGGGAAUCUUCCGCAAUGGGCGAAAGCCUGACGGAGCAACGCCGCGUGAGUGAUGAAGGUCUUCGGAUCGUAAAACUCUGUUAUUAGGGAAGAACAUAUGUGUAAGUAACUGUGCACAUCUUGACGG
rnacentral:rRNA from 1 species